GGAGAGGUACUGCAGUGGUUUAACAGGCACGCCUGGAAAGCGUGUGUCGGGCGCAAGUCUGACCGCGGGUUCGAAUCCCGCCCUCUCCGCCA
rnacentral:tRNA from 1 species